CCAACGCGAGACGGUGUCCAGAGAAACGGUUUUGCCCAGAUGUUGGGCUUCAGCCAAGGCAUGGCCAUCCUUCACAUUCGAAGAUAAGGCUAACAACGGGGAGGGUGAAUCCAUGUGAACAGAUGUGGCAGAAAAGAGCGGGAAAGAGAGAAAAUAGCUCACUGUUUGCACGUGAGCUAUUAUUGCACCACAAGAUUUGAGUUCUCCAGCCGGCUAAAGUCUAAACAGUAAGUAACGUCUACGUUUCGGAUCAAGAGAAAUUACGGAGGAAGAUUACACUAAUGCCCAACGUAAUUAUAACACUUGAGUAAUGAUUGUAAUUACGUGUCCGAUAACAUUACAAAAAAAAAAAAAGCAUCAACCCUAACCCUGAUUUUAUG